AUUGAACGCUGGCGGCAUGCUUUACACAUGCAAGUCGAACGGUAACAGGCCGCAAGGUGCUGACGAGUGGCGAACGGGUGAGUAAUGCAUCGGAACGUGCCCAGUCGUGGGGGAUAACGCAGCGAAAGCUGUGCUAAUACCGCAUACGAUCUAUGGAUGAAAGCGGGGGACCGUAAGGCCUCGCGCGAUUGGAGCGGCCGAUGUCAGAUUAGGUAUGUGGUGGGGUAAAGGCCUACCAAGCCAACGAUCUGUAGCUGGUCUGAGAGGACGACCAGCCACACUGGGACUGAGACACGGCCCAGACUCCUACGGGAGGCAGCAGUGGGGAAUUUUGGACAAUGGGCGCAAGCCUGAUCCAGCAAUGCCGCGUGCAGGAAGAAGGCCUUCGGGUUGUAAACUGCUUUUGUACGGAACGAAACGGUCUGGGUUAAUACCCUGGGCUAAUGACGGUACCGUAAGAAUAAGCACCGGCUAACUACGUGCCAGCCGCCGCCGUAA
rnacentral:rRNA from 1 species